rnacentral:rRNA from 1 species
AUUGAACGCUGGCGGCAGGCCUAACACAUGCAAGUCGAACGAGUGGCGGAAGGGUGAGUAAUGUCUGGGAAACUGACUGAUGGAGGGGGAAAACUACUGGAAACGGAAGCUAAUACCGCAUACCAUCAGAUGUGCCCAGAUGGGUUUAGCUAGUUGGUGGGGUAACGGCUCAACAAGGCGGCGCUCCCUAGCUGGUCUGAGAGGAUGACCAGCCACACGGGAACUGAGACACGGUCCAGACUCCUACGGGAGGCAGCAGUCGGGAAUAUUGCACAAUGGGCGCAAGCCUGAUGCAGCCAUGCCGCGUGUAUGAAGAAGGCCUUCGGGUUGUAAAGUACUUUCAGCGGGGAGGCGUUACCCGCCGAAGAAGCACCGGCUAACUCCGUGCCAGCAGCCGCGGUAAUAC